UACGUAGGGGGCUAGCGUUGUCCGGAAUCAUUGGGCGUAAAGAGCGUGUAGGCGGCUUGUUAAGUCUUGCGUGAAAUCUCGGGGCUCAACCCCGAGCGGUCGUGAGAAACUGGCAGGCUAGAGUGCGGGAGAGGAGAGUGGAAUUCCUGGUGUAGCGGUGAAAUGCGCAGAUAUCAGGAAGAACACCCGUGGCGAAGGCGGCUCUCUGGGACGGUACUGACGCUGAGACGCGAAAGCGUGGGGAGCGAACAGG
rnacentral:rRNA from 1 species